rnacentral:misc_RNA from 1 species
UUGGUUUGAUACGGGUGGUCGGCUCCCUGCUUGAGCAGGCACGGCCACGCGUGCAUUCCUUUUCAGCUGUGCGGCAAGGCUUGUAUAGUCUUGAUCGUAUAAGUGGGUUUCCUGUGUUGCAUACCUGAUCAACGGCAUCGUUUCGAUCAAAAAGCUUACCUUUUUCGUCUAGUGUUGCACCCGCACCAUUGGAUGAACCACGUAGCAUUCUCUUUGAUCCAUACAAUUGACAUUCAUUGUUAGUUGUUUGGCCCAUUGAGCGUGUCUUGGUCCCUUGAAUAUGGAAGCCAAAGUGGGCACGGGAUCGUAAGAUCCGUUUAGUGCCCUAAUUGAGCGUUUUCGCUUCUCUUACACGACUGCCUCUCACGUAUGGCACGUCCCAGCGUGUUUGGCUAUGUCGAAGAGGAAUGU